GAAAUGGCCAAACUGAAACAAACCAUCAUCAAUGCCAAGGUCGCACCCAUUUCCUUACCCCCAGAUAUCAGCCCAAUGGAUGAUCCUUACAAGGCUAGCUCCUCAUUGAUGUCCAAACUGCACCGCUGUGCCAUCUGCCCUUAUAUCAGUCUAAACCACACCAAUUUGAUCCUUCAUGAGAGGGCACAUGGACAACAUAAGGAGGAUGGCUCUAAAUUUGGCUGUCCAUUCUGCGACUUCGCCACUGGAAACAAAACAAUGUUAGCUGUUCAUAUAAAAGUCCACUCCAACCAUUAUAAAGCAGGUAGUAUCAAUGAUGUUGAAGACCUGGAGGGGAAAGGUGCCAUCAGUGAGAACAGAGCUGUCUCUCCCAAAGCAACUGUUGUCUUCAGUGAUCCUGCUAUCUCACCAACAAGAGAGUUACUGGACAGUGGAGGCUUCUAUUUUAAGGUAGAUGAGACCACAGGAGAUACACAUCUGAACAAGGCAAACUUCAAGAAAUUUGUCUGUGAAAAAUGCCCAUAUGCAACUUCCAAGAAACUGUAUUAUGAACGCCACUUGAGUCUACAUGGAUCGAAAUUGAGAUUUGGAUGUGAGUUUUGUGAUUACAGCACACCUACUUUCAGUCAGCUUCAGACGCAUAAGUCCAUCCAUCUGACUCCCAAUGGUAACCUCCUUGCUGCCCAGAGUGUGUCUAACCUCCUCACCCAGCCUGAGAUACCCGCAGAUAUAGCGGCAACUGAGGUCAAUAUGUCUGAUAAAACAGUGAAAGAUGGCAGCCUACAUGACAACUUAGAGCUCUAUGAGAACUCGGAAUCAUUUGAAGAGCCAAAUGCUAGACUAUACAGGUGUAAUUAUUGCCCUUAUAACAGCCAGAGACGCGAUGGUCUGAUUUCGCAUGAAAAGUUCCAUAUAUCAAGAGGCACAUUCAAAUGUCCACAUUGUUCAUUCAGUGUUAACCAGCAACACCUGUUGAACCAACAUAUCAAUAUCCACUUCUCAAACCCAUCACUUGAUGCCAGGGCUGAACAGGUGGAGAACAGUGAACCCACAAAUGAUGAGACCACCCCUGAGUUCAUUGACAUCAAUGAUAUUCCUGUUGAAGAGAGGAAAAGAUGGCAACAUGAUGAGUCCAAAUCCAUGAUGCCUAAAGGGGAAUCAGUGCCUACUACAUCAAAUGCUAAACAUUGUGAGGAGCCCAUGGAUACUAUGUGGAUCUGCCAGUAUUGUGAUAGGGCCUUUGGGGGUUCACAAGAGCUUAUGGAACACAAGAAAACUCACAAGAAUUAAUAAAUGCCAAGAAGUCAUGCCAUAGACUACAUAGUGCAGUGCCAUAUUAAACAAUACAGCAGUGCUUCUAUGAAGAACUAAACAGUGCCAGUACCAGACAGUACCAUAAUAGUACUAAACAGUACCUAAGUUAGAAAGAAGAUGUUUUUGUUAAGGAAACUAGAUACAGUUACAGUGCCUUCAGAAAAUGUAACCAUGGAUACUGAACAGUGCUUCAGUAGAUAUAAACAGUGCCGUAGUGAAAUCAAAACAGUGCCGUAGUGCAUACUAAACAAUACUGGAUCACAGUGGGAACUAUAUACCAUAAUUAUGCAUAAAUAUAUUGAUGGAAAUUAUAUCAGUGUACAACUGCAUACUUAUAUUUAUAUUGGUGCUUAAUGUGGAAAAUGUUGAUACUUUUAAGUUUUCAAGCAUAUUUCUAAUGUCAGAAUGUAAAUGUUCAAAAUGUAAAAGGUGCUAAUGAAAAAGUCAAGAACAAUGAAAUCCUAGAUGUAAAACGAGCAACAGUGAAAUCCUGGAUAAUGAAUAUAUUUUUUGAACUAGGAUUUAGGACAACAGUGCCUUCCUGCAUUAUAUGCAUUGUAAUAUACUGUACAGAUUUACACAUAUUUUAUAAUCAUAUACAUUAUAUAUUAAAUAUCAUGUACAGUGUAGAGUACAUUGAAAUCUUAUACUAAUAUCUAUGCAAAAUGUAAAACCAAGUUGAGGGGAGAAUAUUGUAUGCAUGAAGACUAUACAUUCCCCAGUUAGCACUAUCAAUAAAUAUUAUAUGCAAGAAUUCAAUAUGCAAUAUAGGGGGAGUUACAAAGGGGUAUUUUUCUCAGUCUACUACUCUCAAGUCAGUCAGACUGUCAAUUUCAUCUCUGCUCUUAAGGGAUUAAAGGAGGGAUUCCAGGGACAUUAUAGAAGAAGACCAGUCAGUGUAAGCAUACAGAGUAUGUCUAAAAGGCA
rnacentral:misc_RNA from 1 species